UACGGAGGGUGCGAGCGUUGUCCGGAAUCAUUGGGCGUAAAGGGCGCGUAGGCGGCCGUCCCAAGCGUGCGGUGAAAGUCAGGGGCUCAACCCCUGAUCGGCCGUGCGAACUGGGGGGCUCGAGCACUGUAGAGGCAGGCGGAAUUCCGGGUGUAGCGGUGGAAUGCGUAGAUAUCGCUUGGAACGCCGAAGGUGAAAACAGGCUGCUGGGGUUGCGCCGACGCUGAGACACGAAAGCCAGGGGAGCAAACGGG
rnacentral:rRNA from 1 species